CGGACAUGAAGACUUGGUAACUGCCCUACACGUAGCAAUCCAGGGAAGAAAAAGGGUGAUAAAAGACGGCUAGUAUAGGCCAAGUGCUUGAACUAGGGUAGAAAGAACUCUAGAUGCAGGUAAUUUUACUUAACUUGACAAGUAAAAAUGGAUUUUUAAGGAUCCACUUUUAGUAAGCAUUUUUGCAAAGCAGAGUCUUUGAUUCUUGAUAAGCCAUACCUUGAAUCCCUCUAGCCAGCAUACCCUUGAAAGUCUUUUCUUUAGUCAGGUAAGUCUUUGCUGAGUAAUUCCGUACUCAGGGUUUUAUUCCCUGUUGUUUUUCAGGUUAUAGUUUUGUGCUGCUGAUGAUGGUGUUAAGUGCCGGUGGGCUCGACCUUCUUAUAAGUCUAAAUAACUCUCCUAUACUUCUUAUUGAGGAUGGUCACUUGAGCUAGCAUAUAUAUCAAACUUAUACUUUUGUAAUCACUCCGAUG
rnacentral:lncRNA from 1 species